AUUGAACGCUGGCGGAAUGCUUUACACAUGCAAGUCGAACGGCAGCACGGGGGCAACCCUGGUGGCGAGUGGCGAACGGGUGAGUAAUACAUCGGAACGUGCCCAGUCGUGGGGGAUAACGUAGCGAAAGCUACGCUAAUACCGCAUACGAACUCUGGUUGAAAGCGGGGGAUCGCAAGACCUCGCGCGAUUGGAGCGGCCGAUGGCAGAUUAGGUAGUUGGUGGGGUAAAGGCCUACCAAGCCGACGAUCUGUAGCUGGUCUGAGAGGACGACCAGCCACACUGGGACUGGGACACGGCCCAGACUCCUACGGGAGGCAGCAGUGGGGAAUUUUGGACAAUGGGCGCAAGCCUGAUCCAGCCAUUCCGCGUGCAGGAUGAAGGCCCUCGGGUUGUAAACUGCUUUUGUACGGAACGAAACGGCCUGAGUUAAUACCUCGGGCUAAUGACGGUACCGUAAGAAUAAGCACCGGCUAACUACGUGCCAGCCGCCGCCGUAACAC
rnacentral:rRNA from 1 species